rnacentral:rRNA from 1 species
UACAGAGGGGGCAAGCGUUAUUCGGAUUUAUUGGGCGUAAAGGGCGCGUAGGCGGCCUGGCAAGUGGAGGGUGAAAUCUCUCGGCUUAACCGAGGAACUGCCCUCCAAACUGCUUGGCUUGAGUCCGGGAGAGGUGAGUGGAAUUCCCAGUGUAGCGGUGAAAUGCGUAGAUAUUGGGAGGAACACCAGUGGCGAAGGCGGCUCACUGGACCGGAACUGACGCUGAGGCGCGAAAGCGUGGGGAGCAAACGGG